rnacentral:rRNA from 1 species
AACGAACGCUGGCGGCAGGCUUAACACAUGCAAGUCGAGCGCCCAGCAAGGGGAGCGGCAGACGGGCGAGUAACGCGUGGGAACGUACCUUUUGGUUCGGAACAACUCCGGGAAACUGGUGCUAAUACCGGAUAAGCCCUAACGGGGAAAGAUUUAUCGCCGAAAGAUCGGCCCGCGUCUGAUUAGCUAGUUGGUGGGGUAACGGCUCACCAAGGCGACGAUCAGUAGCUGGUCUGAGAGGAUGAUCAGCCACACUGGGACUGAGACACGGCCCAGACUCCUACGGGAGGCAGCAGUAGGGAAUAUUGGACAAUGGACGCAAACCUAAUCCAGCCAUGCCGCGUGAGUGAGGAAGGCCUUAGGGUUGUAAAACUCUUUUGUCCGGGAAGAUAAUGACGGUACCGGAAGAAUAAGCCCCGGCUAACUUCGUG